AUGAAAGAUGCAAACCCCAAGGAUUCAGAAUAUCUGGAAUUAGGGAAUGCAGUGCAGGUGAAGCAAUUGCAGAUUAUUAUCAUCAUUAAAGGUCAGCAUGUGGGACUGGAUCUGUUUGGACCUUUUUUGGACAAUAGUGAUGUAGGAAAGUUGUUAGCACUCAACGCCGACAGCCAAGAAAGAAUUCUUGAGACAUCUUUGACGGCGGCCGCUGCGGCAAGAGGCACUCGGCUGGCGGCCUGGGGCGGAAGGGAGACUGCGGCGUGGGAUCGCUGCCGGCCAGCGAGGUUUGCCGGUCCCCAGCCCCUUGACCGCGGCGUGGCCGGUGUGGCCCUGGCAGGCACAGGAGUGGCAUGGUACCAUGGCCGCAUGAAUGUCGUGGCACCUGAGGGCAGCCUCACCGUCUUAGCACAGGAAAAUGUUGACUCUGGAGAGAUGGGAGAAAAAUUGUCCCUUCGUAAACAGCGCUUCAUGCAGUUUUCUUCACUGGAAAUGAAGGAGAAUAUUGUAUGACACCACGAGACUUAACACUUUUCAGGAAUGUUUGAUAAAAUGGAACGUAAAACUUCAGUGAAGAAGCUGACAAAAAAGGAAUCCAACCAGCUCAUUGUGGAUCAACCUUUUUUAGAGACCUUGGCGAUAAAGGCCUAAUUUCAUAUACUGAGUAUCUUUUCUUGCUUAUAGUGCUCACUAAACCUCUUACUGGGUUUCAUGUUGCUUUUAAAAUGCUGGAUGCAGAUGGUAAUGAGAUGGUUGAGAAAAAGGAAUUUUUUAAGCUACAGAAGAUCGUAAGUAAACAAGAUGACUUGAAGACAACAAUAGCUAAUGAAACAGAAUGCCAGGAAUCAACAGUGAAAGAACCUGAAAUUACCACAACCCUUCAGAUACAUAUUUUUGGAAAAAGAGGAGAAAGAAAACUUCAUUAUAGGGAAUUUCGAAGAUUUAUGGAGAAUUUACAAACGGGGGUACAAGAAAUGGAAUUCCUUCAGUUUUCUAAAGGUUUGAGUUUCAUGAGAAAAGAAGACUUUGCAGAGUGGCUACUUUUCUUCACUAACACUGAAAAUAAAGACAUCUAUUGGAAAAAUGUAAGAGAGAAGUUGUCAGCAGAAGAGAGCAUUAGUUUGGAUGAGUUCAAGUCAUUUUGUCAUUUUACGACCCACUUGGGAGACUUUGCUAUUGCUAUGCAAAUGUGAGGUUUAGCUCAUCGUCAGACUGGCGGAGCUUAAGAGGGCCGUGAAAGUAGCAACAGGACAGGAACUCUCAAACUAUAUUUUGGACACCGUCUUCAAGAUCUUUGAUGUGUAUGGUGAUGAAUGUCUUAGUCAUGGAGAGUUUCUCAGGAUUUUAUUUUAUUUUAUUUUAUUUUUUUAA